UACGAAGGGGGGCUAGCGUUGCUCGGAAUCACUGGGCGUAAAGGGUGCGUAGGCGGGUCUUUUAAGUCAGGGGUGAAAUCCUGGAGCUCAACUCCAGAACUGCCUUUGAUACUGAGGAGCUUGAGUCCGGGAGAGGUGAGUGGAACUGCGAGUGUAGAGGUGAAAUUCGUAGAUAUUCGCAAGAACACCAGUGGCGAAGGCGGCUCACUGGCCCGGUACUGACGCUGAGGUGCGAAAGCGUGGGGAGCAAACAGG
rnacentral:rRNA from 1 species